UUCAUACUCCCUCCAUUCCAAAUUACUCGUCGCAGAAAUGGAUGUAUCUAGAACUAAAAUACAUCUAGAUACAUCCAUUUCUGCAACGAGUAAUUCGGAACGGAGAGAGUAGAAG
rnacentral:pre_miRNA from 1 species